rnacentral:rRNA from 1 species
UACGUAGGUGGCAAGCGUUGUCCGGAAUUAUUGGGCGUAAAGCGCGCGCAGGCGGUCUUUUAAGUCUGAUGUGAAAGCCCACGGCUCAACCGUGGAGGGUCAUUGGAAACUGGGAGACUUGAGUGCAGAAGAGAAGAGUGGAAUUCCACGUGUAGCGGUGAAAUGCGUAGAGAUGUGGAGGAACACCGGAUGGCGCAAGGCAGCCCCCUGGGACGUAACACCUGACGCUCAGGCACGAAAGCGGUGGGGAGCAAACGAGGGAUUAC